UAGCCAUUCAGAUCCUUACUGUAUAUGUUGGUUACAGUUGGUUCAGAUUCACUAUUAGGAGUAGAAUAUAUCUAGAUAGAAUCUAUCGAUCUUGAUAGAAAAGAAGAAGUCCUAUACAAUUUGCGAGACUGAGUUCAGAAAGUCUUUGGCCAAAGCAAGCGUGAAUACUGAAAAAAAAUUUAUGGGAUUCACAAAUAGACUCGAGUCGAGCCAAUCUAGUAUAUGACCGAUGAUGGGAUCUAAUGAAUUCUCUAUGACCUCCAUCAAGUCGGGACUCACGAUAGAAGAACGAAAUUAUAUGAUAACUGCACCUAGAGGUUCACACUUUCAUUCUACUAGAUUAUCACUACAUACUGCUAGAUAUUACUGAUGGAU
rnacentral:lncRNA from 1 species